UAAAUUACAACGUCGGUGGCCUUCGCCACCGACAACCCUCAAAAAUUGCGUAUUUAGUUAAAACUGUUUUGUCUUCUCGCCAGUGCACCACCACCGUAUGCGACGUUUCCGGUGGCUAAUACCCUAAUCAAAACGCCGGCCACCCUCCUCUCCUUCUUCACCCUUUUCCCUCUCAGCCUCCACCAACGUGUUUUCCUCUCUUGCUAUGAUCUUUAAGGGCUUUCUUUCAUCUUUUCCUUAGAUGAUAACAAUCGGAAAUCCUGAGUGCAACAUUCAGAGGAUUACAACGCAUAAGAAAUCAAGAAAUCAUCAAAUUUCGCUAACCCUAUAAGAAAUUCCACCGAUGGGUUGCACGAUUUUACCUCUGGGAUUUCAAAUCAUGUAUAGGGCUUUAAAUUUGCAGACUACCAGGACCUUUAAUUUGCUGUUCAGGUUUUUUAGGUAUGACCUAUUUCUAUAUGACUUGAAAAGAUGACUGAAAGAACAAUUGAACUCCAAUCACCAGGUACUGUGUAAACACAGCUAUAGAAGAUGAAAGUGACGAAGCAAAGGCUAUUUUCUUCAACGAAGCAAUGGAACAAAUGCUGGAAAAAUCUUACUACGACAUGGUAGUCAAGGAUGGAUACAUAGACCUGGAAAUCAUACGCGCGGAUAUCUAUAACAUCAGGGGAAAAAUUGCAGUUUUGGAUAUCUCAAUGAAACAAGACAACUCAAUGGCCAUGAACAAACGGAGUACCAACAGCCAUAAUCCCAGCAACCCCAUAUGCUAAAACAACAACUACCAAAAGUAGAACACCAGAUUCGCCAGGUAUAUAGAUUUCAAUAUAUCUAAAUUUUUUAUGUAAACAUCCAUUUACCAUUACACAGACAAUGAAACAACGGGAAAACAGGCAAAAAAGUAAAAGCAUAAUGGGGAAGGUAACAUUUUUGCCAAGUUGGAAAACCCCAAAAUGCAUCCUUGCUGAUUUUCCAGGUGAAAAAAUAGCGCCUUCAUACAAGCCAUCUCUUUUGCGCCACACAAACAACAACAAAUGCUUUCGCUUCAGCACAAUAUUUUGGCUUCAACAACAAGAUUGGAAAGGCCAAGACAUCAACAUAUGCAUUAACAUUUUCGCUUCAACAAGGCGACAAAAACUGUGAAAGCAACAAGCAAGGACCGCAACUUUAAAAAUCUUAUAAAAAAUAUCUAUAAGCUAUUACCCUUAUCAAAGUUGUAGUAUAAAUUCUAAUGUAACCCAUGACCUUUGUAUGUCUAUAAGACAAUUACUCUUAAAUAGGCCGUUAUUUGAAUGUUAA